AUGUCCAUGCUUCUUCUUCCUCCCAGCAGCAGCAGAAGCAUGGCGCCUCCUCCGGCCCUCCGCUCCCCGCGCGCGCCUAUCUCUCCACGGACGGAAUCACCCAGACGACAUGCCAUAGCACGGUGUGACACUUCACGGACCACGCCAAGAAUAUCUGAAACUGAACCUACGCUUGCUCAACCUUCAGCACCUGUCCAAGGUGCUACCGCCCCUCUGGUUCAGGCACUGAAAUCAACUGCAGCCCAAGACGUGUCCUGUUUUCACUUCCCUGGACACAACCGAGGGAAAGCUGCUCCUUCUUCGAUGUUGGACCUUAUUGGCGCGGGCGCGUUUUCACAUGACUUGCCCGAGCUACCCGAACUCGACGACCUCUUCUACCCUAAUGGUGUGAUUUUGGAUGCUCAGAACCAGGCAGCUCAACUCUUUGGGUCAUCUAAAACAUGGUUCCUGGUCAAUGGGAGUACCUGCGGAAUCCAGGCCGCGGUGAUGGCCACCUGCUGCCAUGGUGACUACAUUGUUGUGCCUCGAAACUGUCACAUCUCAGUGAUCUCUGCCCUGGUUCUGUCCGGUGCUGUGCCUAAGUAUAUAGUACCAGAGUACAAUUCUGCAUGGGACAUUGCUGGUGGUAUUACGCCGUCACAGGUGGAUAAAGCACUGAAGGAGCUUGAGAAGGAUGACAAGAAAGUAGGUGCUGUUCUUGUUACUUCGCCGACCUACCAUGGCAUAUGCAGCGAUGUGCAAUGUAUCGUCGAUGUUUGCCAUCCUUUACACAUUCCGGUUAUAGUUGAUGAGGCUCAUGGUGCGCACUUCAGGUUCCAUCACAGUUUUCCAAGCACGGCGAUAGAGCAAGGUGCUGACUUAGCUGUGCAAUCCACGCACAAGGUUCUGAACUCUCUUACACAGUCCUCGAUGCUUCACAUGGCUGGAGGUCUGGUUGAUGCAGAUAAAGUGAGCCAAUGCCUCCAGUUGCUCCAGAGCUCAAGCCCAAGUUACCUCCUACUGUCAUCAUUAGAUGCUGCAAGAGCUCAGUUGAGCGAGAACGCUAAAUCUUUUGAUGAACCGGUGGCUAUGGCUUUAGAAACAAGAGAUCAGCUGAUGGUAAUCCCGGGGUUAUCUGUCCUGGACUUGUCAUGCUUUGCUUCUGACUUCCCUGCCAUUGAUCCUUUGCGUGUCACACUAAGUGCUUCAGAUCUACAUUUAUCUGGAUACGAGGCAGAUGACAUUUUGGAAGAGCAUCAAAUUGUAUGUGAGCUUGUCGGAACACAGGCGGUGACGUUUGCAGUCAACUUAGGGACCAGAAGGCAAGAUGUUCAAAAACUUGUACAGUGUGCAAAGCAUCUCUCAGAUAAAUACAUAUCUGCAAACGGAUCGAGAUUUAGUAAGCAUAACUAUGUUUGUAGCCCAUUGGAUAAGUUCUCUGUCAAGCUGACUCCAAGAGAGGCCUUCUUUACAAAGAAAAGAAGAGUGUGCAUGGAGGACAGCCUUGGGGAGAUUUGUGGUGAGCUUAUCUGCCCGUAUCCACCAGGUAUCCCUGUGCUGAUACCCGGUGAGGUCGUAACUCAGGAUUCGCUGUCUUACUUAAUAAACGUCAGAGACCAGGGCAUGACAAUCAGUGGAGCAGCUGAUGGUGAACUCAACUCAAUCAUGGUAUGCAACUUGUGA
rnacentral:rRNA from 1 species